rnacentral:snoRNA from 1 species
GAAGAAGCAAAAUGAUGAGUAAUACUUACAUGAGCCAAAGUGAGCGAGCUCUGUGUGUGUGUGUGUGCGCGCAUUUGUGUGAUGGUGGGUUGUGAGAAUUGUGUGCCUUAUAAUUGGGCGGUGAUAGCUAAACUGAUAAGAUCUGAUUGCUUC